rnacentral:tRNA from 1 species
GGUGAGGUCCGCCUGUUGGUAAGGGCUGCGGUUUGCUAAACCGUUGGUCGGUUUUGGCCGGCUCGCGAGUUCGAAUCUCGCUCUCACCG